rnacentral:rRNA from 2 species
UGACUCCUUGAGAGUCCUGAAGGAACGUUGAAGACGACGACGUUGAUAGGCCGGGUGUGUAAGCGCAGCGAUGCGUUGAGCUAACCGGUACUAAUGAACCGUGAGGCUUAACCUU